GGGUCCGCACAAGCGGUGGAGCAUGUGGUUUAAUUCGAUAAUACGCGAGGAACCUUACCUAGGCUAGAAUGCGAGUGACAUCCAGAGAGAUCUGGAGUUCUUCGGACACAAAGCAAGGUGCUGCAUGGUUGUCGUCAGCUCGUGCCGUGAGGUGUUGGGUUAAGUCCCGCAACGAGCGCAACCCCUGUUUUAGUUGCCAGCAAGUAAUGUUGGGGACUCUAGAAAGACUGCCUGCGUAAGCAGAGAGGAAGGAGGGGACGACGUCAAAUCAGCAUGGCCCUUAUGCCUAGGGCUACACACGUGCUACAAUGGCGUAUACAAAGGGUAGCGAACCAGUGAUGGUAAGCCAAUCUCUAAAAGUACGUCUCAGUUCGGAUUGAAGUCUGCAACUCGACUUCAUGAAGCUGGAAUCGCUAGUAAUCGUGUAUC
rnacentral:rRNA from 1 species